rnacentral:rRNA from 1 species
ACGUAGGGUCCGAGCGUUGUCCGGAAUUACUGGGCGUGAAGCGCGCGCAGGCGGUCCAUUCAGUCGCUGGUGAAAGCCCCACGCUCAACGUGGGAAGGUCCAGCGAGACGGGUGGACUGGAGGCAGGGAGAGGUCGGUGGAAUUCCGGGUGUAGUGGUGAAAUGCGUAGAGAUCCGGAGGAACACCAGAGGCGAAGGCGGCCGACUGGACCUGACCUGACGCUGAGGCGCGAAGGCGUGGGGAGCGAACGGGA